ensembl:lncRNA LINC00293 long intergenic non-protein coding RNA 293
ACUCUCCAGGCUUGGUACUGCACAGAACAGACAUUGUGACAUAUAUCUAGGCAAAUUGCCUAGAAGUGAAUCCCCUCUCCUGCUUAAGUCCUUCCCACAGAGAGCGGUUUGAUAUGUCACUGAAACCAGCAUCCAGGUGGUAUUGCUCCAUAUGCCUGAGACCCUAACAAAAGCCUAAUUACAACUCAUAUGCCUGGAGCCAGGACAUGUGCAGGAUGGUGAUGUAACUUUCCUCUCUGGAAUGGGUCCUGCACAAAGGAAUGAUAGUAACAUAUUGCAAAGCCAGACACACAGCCAUGAUGGUCCAAGUUAUAUUGGGAUUCAGCCAAUAGAAGAUAUUUUGCCUGUCAUCCCUAAGCUUAGGACAAUAGACUCUGCCAAGAGAGGGGAUUAUUACAUAUUGCAGAGCCCAGCACCUAGGUGGAGUGACUCUCAUCUUUUUCUUCUACCCCGUAUAUAGCCAGCUUGGUGACCUACUAUUUGAGUCUAUACCCAGGCCCAGACCACAGAUGAAAUUGUGCAAUAUGUGGAACAAACACCUAAACAAUAUAUAACACCUUCCUUGGCUCUGUCUACAAAGGGCACUUUUAUAUAUCACUGGGACCAUCAACCAGGUGAUGUUAAUUAUCUUCCUGAAACCUGUCUACAAAGAGAGUUGUGUCGUAUACCUAGGCCCGUCAUGUAAGUGAUGUCAGUCCCUUCUACUGCCUUGGCCCUGCACUUACAGUGCAUUGUGACACAUAACAAGGUACUGCACACAGACGAUGUGAUUCUCCUUUUUGGGUUCUGCCAAAAGGAAGCAUUGUAAUAAAUCGCUUGGCUCAGUACCAAGGUGAUGUUUCUUUGCUUUUGCCUGGGCCCUGAUAACAGGGAGAUUGUGAUCUAUUGCUGGGCCCAACAAAAAUGUGAGGUCACUCUCCAGCCGUGGUACUUCACAUAAGCGCCAUUGUGACAUGUAUCUAGGCCAAUUGCCUAGGUGAAGUGAGUUUCCUCUCUUGCCAAAGUCCUGCCCACAGAGGGGGUUUUGAUAUGUCACUGAAAUCAGCAUUCAGGUGAUGUGACUCUUCUGCCAGGGUCCUGCGUACUAGGUGGAUUGUGACAUCUCACUGGACCCGCAACCAUGUAGGUCAUGUGACUUUCAUGCCUUCUCACUGGCCACAGGUGAUGUUGUGCCAUAUAACUGAGACCGUAUCAAAAGCCUAAUAACAAGACGUAUGUCUGGAGCCCCGAUAUGCACAGGAUGGUGAUAUAACCCUCUUCUCUGGAAUGGGCCCCACACAAAGGAAGGAUAGUGACAUAUUGCAAGCCCAGGCACACAGGCCCAGAGCACAGUUGAAAUUGUGACAUAUGUACACCAAGCAACCAAGCAAUGUAUAACACCUCAUUUGGCAAUGGAAUCGAGGGCACUUUUACAUAUCACUGAGACCAGCGCCCAGCUGAUGUGAAAUAUUGGCCUGAACCCUGCCUACAAAAGCAUUGUGGCUUUUAUCUAGCUCCAUUACAUAAGUGAUGUGACUUCCUUCUACUGCCUUGGCCCUGCACUUAUGGUGAAUCGUGACACAAAAUUGGGUAGAGCAACCAGGUGAUGUGACCCUUUUUUUUUUGGCGGGGGGCCAGUCUGUCAAUAGGAAGCUUUAAC